UAUGUUUAAUAUUUUUCCCGAGUAUUACAUGAAACGAAAGUCUGAUCCAUCAUUGUGCCAAAUUUUAACAUGGAUCAAAUUUUCCUGAGUUUACAUUGUUAAAAAAUGUUAUUUCCCCGAAUUUAGAUGUUCACAACUCCACAAGAUAAUUUUUGGAGUUAUUCUAGCUUCUUAUAUUCUAAUUUUCUGCCCCUCUCACAAUCGACGUGGGACUUUCAUGACUUCACGGGCUGCAUCCGCAGAGGAAAGUACAAGAGUAGGCACACUGCCAAAGUGAAGAAGCAUAAUGGGACCAUGUUUUUGAGCCAAAGCUCGAGGCAGUCCUAGUUGAUGGAAGUUUCCUAGCACUGGGAGUUUUGAUGGUGACGGUGGCAACUUGUUUUUGCUCAAUGGGGCAUUAAGAAAAACCCAUUUGAUGAAUAAGAGGAAGGCGAUUAUUGGUAUAAGAGCAACCAUAAGGUACACUGGCAGCAACAUGAAGUUGAAGUGGAACUUUUCGCUGCACGGGGUCUUUCACUCAUGUCUAAAUCCUCCCCAUUUCUUCCGUCAGGCAACUUCCAGUCAAAUUUAUGCAAAAGAUUUGCCAACAGAAAGAAAUUCAUUGGUAGCCAUGGCAAAAGAAAUUAUGGGGCAGGAAUCAACUGAAAAUCUUGUCCUUUAAAAUCGAUAGAGGAAUUCAAGAACCUCUCUGCAGGCUGAAACUUUUCUGGUUCCUUCCAUGUUGCAGGGUCUCUUCCAAUAGGCCAGGCAUUAGUUAUAACCAUUGUUCCAGCAGCAAUGUCAUAGCGUUUAAUUUCACAUCUUCAUGCGCUGCUCUGGGAACCAACAAGGGUAUUAGAGGGUGCAGACGAAGAGUUUCUUUGAUCACUGCCUUCAGAUACUGCAUUUUCUCCAAAUCGUUAUCUAGCAUUGUAGUUCAAAUUUUAUUUUAGCAUCAAAAAUCACUUUUUCAUGUCAAAUUAUAGCAAUGGCUGUACCUAUUUUGCA